GCAAGUCGAACGAGAACGGGACCUUCGGGUCCCUAGUAAAGUGGCGAACGGGUGAGUAACGCGUAGGCAAUCUGCCCUCAUGGCGGGGAACAACCACGGGAAACCGUGGCUAAUACCACAUAACGUCGGGACGUCGCAUGGCGACCCGACCAAAGGCUUCGGCCACCUGAGGAUGAGCCUGCGUUGGAUUAGCUAGUUGGGGGGGUAAUGGCCCACCAAGGCGACGAGCUAGAGCGGGUCUGAGAGGAUGAGC
rnacentral:rRNA from 1 species